GACGAACGCUGGCGGCGUGCUUAACACAUGCAAGUCGAGCGGUAAGGCCCUUUCGGGGGUACACGAGCGGCGAACGGGUGAGUAACACGUGGGUGACCUGCCCUCAGCUCUGGGAUAAGCCUGGGAAACUGGGUCUAAUACUGGAUAUGACUCCACGGUGCAUGUCGUGGGGUGGAAAGCCUUGUGCGGCUGAGGAUGGGCCCGCGGCCUAUCAGCUUGUUGGUGGGGUGAGGCCUACCAAGGCGACGACGGGUAGCCGGCCUGAGAGGGCGACCGGCCACACUGGGACUGAGACACGGCCCAGACUCCUACGGGAGGCAGCAGUGGGGAAUCUUGCGCAAUGGGCAAAGCCUGACGCAGCGACGCCGCGUGAGGGAUGACGGCCUGGUGUAAC
rnacentral:rRNA from 1 species